rnacentral:rRNA from 1 species
GCGCGAGAACUGAAGGAGCUUGCUCUUGAAGGGACAGCGGCGUAAGGGAGAGUAACAGGUAGAUACCUGCCCUCAGGUUUGGGAUAGCGUCGGGAAACUGGCAGUAAUACCAAAUAACAUCUCCGGAUCAAAGCUCCGGCGCCUGAGGAUGGAUCUGCUCACUAUUAGCUUGUUGGUGGGGUAAUGGCCUACCAAGGCAACGAUGGUUAGCGGGCGUGAGAGCGUGGCCCGCCUCACUGGGACUGAGACACUGCCCAGACUCCUACGGGAGGCUGCAGUCGAGGAUCA